ensembl:lncRNA
AAGAUUAUGUAUGUACAAUAUGCAUUUAUUUGUUCGUUUAUCUAGAAAAUGACUUCAACUAUAUUUCUAUAUUAUAUGCACUACUAAUAAUACAUUUGUAAAAUUGUUUUAAAAUUCUACUUUUUCAGCAGGUUUUGGGGAAAAGAAAAGAAAAGAAAAGAAAAGAAAUAAAUUGAUAAUUUAAUGCUAUUUUAGUUCUUGCUAAUAAUUUUGCUUGUUUUUAUGAUAUUUAGAUAUUCGUUCAGGACACACACUAACUCAUCAUGUAUCUGUGCAGUGCUAAAGAAGAAUUUUAGUCAGUUGCUACAAAAGAAAAAUUUUCUAACUCCACAUAAUUCAAAGAUCAAAACAAGCCCAGGCCUCGCUGUACUCAAGUUAUUCCUGUGGAACAAGGAGGUUGAGGAAAAAGUGCGGCUCGAUUGCCGCCAGAUGUCAAGACACAAAACUGAGUCUGUCAAAUAAGCAGCAGGACUGGCAGCUCCCUGAUGCCCACCGCUACAGCAAUCACACUCUCCUCAGACAGAUCCUCCUAAAACCAGCUGCAGGAAACACAAACACACAGCAAAAUCUACCUUUCUUUGCAUGGAUGGUCUCGUCGGAAAAACCUUCCCUUCAAAUUAGCUGGCUGGGCGAGAGAAUGAGGAGUGACUGAUGACGAGUCGUGUGACGGCUCGCCCUUCACACAGGCUGAAGAGAUGUAAUGACUUUGAGACUUCCAGAGGAACGUGUGAGUGUGAGAAAGAGCUUAUAGGUGCGAGAGAAAGGAUGUGUGAGUGAGAAACUGAGAAAGGAUGAGAAAGUGUGGAAAGAAAAGGAAGGGAGAUGACAUUGGCUGUCAGCACUGAAUACGUGUCAAGGCUCUUAUGGCUCUUUCACCCCACAAUAUCUGCCACCUUCCUGUCAUAAACAUGCAUGAAUCUUUCAGCCUUUCAUAUGUGUUUUGUUUUAAGCUUAAGCCUCAUAAAGCAUUUUAAGAUUUAUGUUUAAAUCAAGAACAACGAACUGUGCAAAUGUGGUCAGAAACAUAAACAAGAAUUGAUUUUAAUGUGAUUUUUUUUUUUUUUUUUGCACUACUAAUAAAAAUGGUUGUCAGAUUUUAUAAAAAUGACUUGUCACUGGGGUAAAAACAGUAAAAUGGAUAUUAAUAAAUUGAUUUAUAAAGUAAAUUGAUUUUGUUUUUAGGAUGUUUAGGUUUUUUCUUCCUGGAAAAAGGACAACCAUGUUUUGAUUUUUUUUUAUUUAUAUUUUUAUAUAUUGUGUACAUAAUCUGUGUACUGCAAAUAAACGUUUGGUCAAAUUGUUGAAAAUUGUUCUUUAAAAUUAUACAGCUUAUAAAAUUAUUUUGCAACAAAAACGAAGAGAGAGAGGAAAAAAAAAAAAAACCUUCCCAGUGCAAAAAGUACACACAAACUAAAAUAACAUUGAAAUAUUAAUGAAGAAUAGUUGCUAAGUCACUUGCUAAAACAAAUAAUUUCAAAAAAAUGAUUUUUUUUUUUUUUUUUUUUUUUUACAGUGUACAUUUUGUGUCUUGCUAAUGAAAAAUAGUUGCCAAAUUGUUUAUAAAUACUGCUUGUUUACAUGGCUUAUGAAACAGGGAAAAAAAAGUAAGCAAAUUCAAAAUACUGAAAAAUACAUUAUAUUUUAAUAUAUAUAGUUUUAUUAUUAUUAUUAUUUUUUAUUUUUUAUUUUUCUUCAGGAAAAUAUUAUGAUGCGAUGGACUUCAACUACAUUUCCCACAAUUCUCUGUGGCAGCUUGAAAUUGCUAAAAUAAACAGAUAAGAUUUUAAUUGCAUCUUAAGCAUCUUAAUACAUGCUAAAAAGCUGUCAUGUAGAAAAACAAAUAUGAAAUUGUGAAAGGAAUAUCAAGUUUUCCAAUGCAUUCAGCCAAGACAACUGGAACGCACAUACUUUUUGUAAUUGCAAACUUGCACGUAGGAACAUCCCAGAAGCACUGGAUUGCAGCAACAUGCAGCAGAACGAUUUUAUUGUGUUCUGCAGUCCAUGUGUCCAAUUACAUCAGCGUUUGAAACCACUUGUGAUUUUACAGUCCCACAAUCCAUCUGGCAGCCCAUCCCACAACACACCGCAAAUCAGAUACACGUGCAUCGAUCACUGACAAACAAACAUCCCAUUAUGCCUUACCUGAAAAAAAAAAAGAAAAAAAAAAACACAUUGCAGAAAUAGCUCCCAAAUGAUUAUACUGCAAAUCACUCUAUAAUGGCUCAUGUUUUCAUCAGCGAAAGAGCAAAAUUAGGCUUGGAGGAUUUCAUUAGAAAAACAAAAUGUCAAGCCAUCCAUUAUCAGUCGUAAUUCAAGCACGUAUCAUUCAGAAGGCUUGCUACCAGCAUAUGGUGAAAAUGUAAGGUUUCGGCACACUAUUUCACAUGAAUUGAAUCAAUAGCUCGGAUAAUAAAGUCAUAAAAGAUGAUGUGGAAUUAGAGUUUCCCUUUAUUGUACUGUAGAUAGGAUGUUGAAGUUGAUCAUUCUUGUAUGGCGACAAGAGUGAGAGAAAACAAUACAUCAUCACUGCUGACAAUUAGAUAUUUAAUCAUACGUAUCGUUACAAACAACUUGCAGAUGUGUACAGCGUUAUAAGUAUGCACAUUUCGAGAAAUUCAUUUUUGACUGUCAGAUAAAGUGUGAUCAAUUUCUAAUUGACUCUAUGUGGAGUAUGGAGCCAUUUGUAUGCUGAACAAAUCCAUGUAAUGAAAAUGAACAAACUGAGUGAAUCUCAAGAAAUAAGUCAAGAAAAUAUCUAUGUUAAUUUCACUAGUGUGACUAGUUUUAAUUUUCACUAACUUAAC